GGUGAGAUGGCCGAGUGGUUAUGGCGCUGCGUUCAGGACCUAUCUGAACAAAUUUCGCAGUGGAGCAAUCCGCGUGGGUUCGAGUCCCACUCUCAUCA
rnacentral:tRNA from 1 species